AGGGUUUGAUCCUGGCUCAGGAUGAACGCUAGCGGCAGGCUUAACACAUGCAAGUCGAGGGGCAGCAUGUCCAGCAAUGGAUGAUGGCGACCGGCGUAAGGGUGCGUAACGCGUGAGCAACAUGCCCUAUACAGGAGGAUACUCCGGGGAAACCCGGUCUAAUACUCCAUAGUAUUAUUGAGAGGCAUCUCUUAAUAAUUAAAGCUUCGGUGGUAUAGGAUUGGCUCGCGUGGCAUUAGCCAGAUGGUGAGGUAACGGCUCACCAUAGCAACGAUGUCUAGGGGUUUUGAGAGGAAGGCCCCCCACACUGGGACUGAGACACGGCCCAGACUCCUACGGGAGGCAGCAGUGAGGAAUAUUGGACAAUGGAUGGAAAUCUGAUCCAGUCAUGCCGCGUGCAGGAAGACUGCCUUAUGGGUUGUAAACUGCUUUUAUACGGGAGCAAUAAGGGUUACGUGUAGCCUGAUGAGAGUACUGUAUGAAUAAGGAUCGGCUAACUCCGUGCCAGCCGCCGCGGUAAUUC
rnacentral:rRNA from 1 species